rnacentral:rRNA from 1 species
GACGAACGCUGGCGGCGUGCUUAACACAUGCAAGUCGAACGGAAAGGCCCUGCUUUUGUGGGGUGCUCGAGUGGCGAACGGGUGAGUAACACGUGAGUAACCUGCCCUUGACUUUGGGAUAACUUCAGGAAACUGGGGCUAAUACCGGAUAGGAGCUCCUGCUGCAUGGUGGGGGUUGGAAAGUUUCGGCGGUUGGGGAUGGACUCGCGGCUUAUCGGCUUGUUGGUGGGGUAGUGGCUUACCAAGGCUUUGACGGGUAGCCGGCCUGAGAGGGUGACCGGCCACAUUGGGACUGAGAUACGGCCCAGACUCCUACGGGAGGCAGCAGUGGGGAAUAUUGCACAAUGGGCGGAAGCCUGAUGCAGCAACGCCGCAUGCGGGAUGACGGCCUUCGGGUUGUAAACCGCUUUCGCCUGUGACGAAGCGUGAGUGACGGUAAUGGGUAAAGAAGCACCGGCUAACUACGUG